rnacentral:tRNA from 1 species
UGGGGGAUCGUCUAAUGGCAGGACGGAUGGCUCUGAACCAUCUAAUCUAGGUUCGAUCCCUAGUCCCCCAGCCA